rnacentral:rRNA from 1 species
GGGCCCGCACAAGCGGUGGAGCAUGUGGUUUAAUUCGACGCAACGCGAAGAACCUUACCAGGGCUUGACAUCCUCUGAAUCUUGAGGAAACUUGAGAGUGCCCUUCGGGGAGCAGAGAGACAGGUGGUGCAUGGUUGUCGUCAGCUCGUGUCGUGAGAUGUUGGGUUAAGUCCCGCAACGAGCGCAACCCCUGUAUUUAGUUGCUAGCAAGUAAAGUUGAGCACUCUAGAUAGACUGCCGGUGACAAACCGGAGGAAGGUGGGGAUGACGUCAAAUCAUCAUGCCCCUUAUGUUCUGGGCUACACACGUGCUACAAUGGCCGGUACAGACGGAAGCGAAGCCGCGAGGCGGAGCAAAUCUGAGAAAGCCGGUCUCAGUUCGGAUUGCAGGCUGCAACUCGCCUGCAUGAAGUCGGAAUCGCUAGUAAUCGCAGGUCAGCAUACUGCGGUGAAUACGUUCCCGGGCCUU